rnacentral:tRNA from 1 species
ACAUUAUUAUUAUAAAAAAUAUAUUUGACUUCCAAUCAGAAGACCUUGGUUUAGCCCAAGAUAAUGUA